CCUUCGAUUAGAAUGAUGGUUAAUGGAUAACCCUAGUAAUUCUAGAGCUAAUACAUGCAAAAAACCCCGACAUUUCCUUUAUGGAUUUGGAAGGGUGGUUUACUUUUAUGAUUAAACCAAUGGGUUUCUACCCAAUAAAGAGGAAUCAAAGGAUACACCUUAAUCACAGACCAUUUUGGUCGGUGAGAAUCUAAACAUAUUUCUGACCUAUCAACUGUCGAUGGUGUCAUAUUUGUACACCAUGGUUUUUACGGGUAACGGGGAAUUAGGGUUCGAUUCCGGAGAGGGAGCCUGAGAAAUGGCUACCACUUCCAAGGAAGGCAGCAGGCGCGCAAAUUACCCAAUCUCGAUCCGAGGAGGUAGUGACAAGAAAUACCAAUAUAGGAACCAAUGGUUACUAUGUUUGGAAUGUGUACGAUUUAAAUAACCUGCUUGGGAACUAUUGGAGGACAAGUCUGGUGCCAGCACCCGCGGUAAUUCCAGCUCCAAUAGCGUAUGUUAAAGUUGCUGCAUUUAAAAAGCUCGUAGUUGGAAUUUGGGACAGAGCCUUCUAAGCCCUAUAAAUGGGUUAAAAGGAUGGAACGAGUACUCUAAAAUGUUGCAUUGACGGUUAUUUCUGUUCCCUAUUUUUUUAGGGGUAUGGAAAAAAUUGUUAACAUUUGCAUCAUCAUAUUACCUUGAAGAAAUCAAAGCGCCUAAAGCAGGUCUUAGGCUAGAAUGAAUUAGCAUGGGAUAAUGGAAAAAGACUUUGAUCUUGAUUUAUUGGUUUCUACAAGCAAUGUACAUGAUUAAUAGGGAUAGUUGGGGCCACUUGUAUUGAACCGUCAGAGGUGAAAUUCUAGGACCGGUUCAAGACAAACUACUGCGAAAGCAUCUGGCAAGGAUGUUUUCAUUAAUCAAGAACGAAAGUUGCGGGCGCGAAGAUGAUCAGAUACCGUCGUAGUCGCAACUAUAAACUUUGUCGCCCAAGGGGUAGUGGUAGUUACAUGAUGACACCCCUAUAACUUUGUGAGAAAUCACAAGUAUUUGGACUCUGGGGGAAGUAUGGUCGCAAGGCUGAAACUUAAAGGAAUUGACGGAAGGGCACCACCAGGAGUGGAACCUGCGGCUUAAUGAAUUAGGUCGUAAAAGUGGAUAUGAUAAAAAAGUAUCUGCUAGUCACAAGGAUGUGUGGCAACGCCAUCAAAUUGCGGGAAGUCCCUAAAGCUCCAACUCCCAAGCACAUUCAGAAAUGUUUGUGUGGCCCGGGGUAUAAUGACCCCUUAGGGUAAGGGAAAAAUGUUGGAGAUACUACAAUGGGUAAUCUGCAGCCAAGUCUAAGGAGGGGAAAAUUCUUCCUUUACCCCCCUCUAUGGAUGCAGUUCACAGACUAAAUGUUGGCGGGCAUAGUUUGCAAGUUGCGCAUCUUUGCUCAAGAUAUAGUCGGCCCCACUGUGAAAGCAGUGUCUACGAGGAGGAAAUGUGUAGAACAUCCCAUCUUUAUUGCAAAGAUCCUACACAUGGAGAGCCCGUAGAGAACAGUGAAUGAUUCAACUGUUCGGAAUAUGUGUAAUUUGACUCAACACGGGGAAACUUACCAGGUCCAGACACAAUAAGGAUUGACAGAUUGAUAGCUCUUUCUUGAUUCUGUGGAAAGUGGUGCAUGGCCGUUUUUAGUUGGUGGAUUGAUUUGUCUGGUUAAUUCCGUUAACGAACGAGACCUAAACCUACUAACUAGUUAAUGGUAACUUGGACUCUACAUAGGGACCUCAUAUUUAUCCAAACUUCUUAGAGGGACUCUUUAUACUUAGUGAAUGGAAGUUUUAGGCAACAACAGGUCUGUGAUGCCCUUAGAUGUUCUGGGCCGCACGCGCGUUACAAUGAAAUGCUCAAUGAGCAAUAUCCCUUGCCCUAAGGGGCUUGGGAACCUGUGUAAAGUUUUUCAAGAUUGGGAUAGGUCAUUGUAAUUAUUGACCUUA
rnacentral:rRNA from 1 species